CAAAAAUGAUGCUAUAAAAAGUAAACCGCAAUUUGCAUUAUGAAGAGUGAUUUACCUGUUAUGUUACCGAUACACAAACUCGUUCAUAACUUUCCUAUAGUCAUUUUACAAGGUUAAGAAGGCUUUAUUCAACGUCCGUUUCAAUAUCCCUGCAAACGACAUUUGAAAAUGACAAAAUCAAUUGGAAUAAUAAAUGGAGUAUUUGUGAAUUGCACAGGCAGACCUACCGUACACUGAAAUAUGCUUUUGUUAUGUACACAAUUACUAAGGCUGAUAUUUACAGAUUAAAAAUAAGAUACGUUAUAUCAAGAUAACAGUCGGUAGACGAUUUAAACGCGCAUCUUCUUAAUAUUAGUUGUGAAUAGAUACGAGAAUGAAAUUUUUUUUACACACUAGUAUUCGACCAUUUUGAAAAAUAUUUAGUCAAUUCAUCGCAAAAUGUGGAUCAAAAAAGGGAAUGCAACCACAGAAUACACCUUAGACCGCUUUAAUGAUAAGAAUCACUGAAUAACCUAGAAACCCGAAUGAUGCUCAAUGGAAAAUAAACAAAAAGGGAUCUGUAAGAUAACACACACCUUUCCACAUACGCUUGACAACGAAAUUUCAUCCAAGACCAAU